rnacentral:pre_miRNA from 1 species
UAAAUACUCCCUCCGUUCGGAAUUACUCGUCCAAGAAAUGAAUGUAUCUAGAUGUAUUUUAGUUGUAGAUACAUCCUUUUUUGUGACAAGUAAUUCCGAACAGAGGGAGUAUAAG